rnacentral:rRNA from 1 species
GAGUUUGAUCGUGGCUCAGAUUGAACGUUGGCGGCAGGCUUAACACAUGCAAGUCGAGCGGAGAUGAGGUGCUUGCACCUUAUCUUAGCGGCGGACGGGUGAGUAAUGCUUAGGAAUCUGCCUAUUAGUGGGGGACAACAUUCCGAAAGGGAUGCUAAUACCGCAUACGUCCUACGGGAGAAAGCAGGGGAUCUUCGGACCUUGCGCUAAUAGAUGAGCCUAAGUCGGAUUAGCUAGUUGGUGGGGUAAAGGCCUACCAAGGCGACGAUCUGUAGCGGGUCUGAGAGGAUGAUCCGCCACACUGGGACUGAGACACGGCCCAGACUCCUACGGGAGGCAGCAGUGGGGAAUAUUGGACAAUGGGGGGAACCCUGAUCCAGCCAUGCCGCGUGUGUGAAGAAGGCCUUAUGGUUGUAAAGCACUUUAAGCGAGGAGGAGGCUACUGAGACUAAUACUCUUGGAUAGUGGACGUUACUCGCAGAAUAAGCACCGGCUAACUCUGUGCCAGCCCG